GUGAAUGUAGCUCAGUUGGUGGCAGCACUUGGUUGUGGUCCAGGCGGUCGUGGGUUCGAGUCCCAUCAUUCACCCCA
rnacentral:tRNA from 3 species